AUGGACGGAGCAUAUAAUCACAUGAAUCAAACAAUAUUCCUAGCUGGUCCCGAACAGAUCUGAUAUCAAAGUUGUUAAACAUAGUCUAAUAAGCAAUCAUGAAUGCAUUACUUAAAAAAUAAAAUAAAAUAAAAUAAAAUCAGUAGGUGAAACAGUAUCACUAUCUUAGACAUUUUAUGGCUCAACAAAAUCACACAAAUCCUUAAUUUGUUAAAAGAAGUGCAUUUACUUACAAAAUCAGAUAGUAGAAUUGUUUCAACGAUCUGAUUUUAGAAUUCUUAGUUACUUAAUUGGGCUACUCUGAAUUCAAUCAAGGUUGCCCAGGUAUGUAUUUACUGAUUGUUGGUUUUUCUUUUUUGCUGCUUAUUAUUUUGGAUAAUUCAUUAUUCAGAUAGGUUGAGUUUUUAUUUAAGGUGUUCUUGUAAGUGAUUUAACCCAUGAAAUGAAGUAGGUUGAUGGGAAUGCAUUAUGCCACAUGAAUGGAUGCAGCGCAGCAAUUCAGAAACUGUGACUUUUGAGCUAUAGGCAUGCUUCAUGGUGGGACACUAGAUGAAUGGAUGGAAGAUCCUGCUAAAAUCAAUCAUGCAGUGGGCCCCAUGGUGGAUGAUUCUGUCCGGUAAGACAGAUUCAAUGUGGAAUGUUGAUUAUAAAGUUUUCUAUUUUCAGGCCAGUGACAAAAGGAAGGUAAUAUAGUCUUGGCACGUCAGUUGUGGACAGAGCAUAUAAUCACAUGAAUUAAACAAUCCUAACUUUCUAAUUACGGCUACUUAGCAACCGACUAGAAGUAAGAUAACAUAAAUGUGUUGCCUUCAGUUUCAUAUGUUUAUCUCAUAAACUGGAAAAAUUAGAAGAGAGAUUCUUCUACGUGUAAUGAACUUGAGGAAAUGCACCAGCCAGUAGACAGACCAGAUUUGGAGCAGUUUGGAACACAGCAAAGGUAGAACCAGGAUCUAUUAUUGCUGUUUUCGGCCUUGGGACUGUUGGCCUUGCAGUAAGUUGCCUGAAGAUUUCUUUUAUAUUUUGUCCCUGACCUGAGAAGUAACACUGCCUGAUUUUUGCACAAGAACAUCCAAUCAAUCUGGUUCAUCUAAUGAAAUUAUGAAAAGUUGGGAUCUCAGACACAUCUUCCAUAUUGGCAUGUGUGGCUACAUGUGGAUGGGCACAGCUCCACACAC